rnacentral:lncRNA from 1 species
UGCGGGUGAUCCCAUCUUGCAGGCCUGGGUCUUUCUUGUUCCAUUUCUGUCUGAUUUUCAAUAAGAUUAUAUUCUUAGGAGGACUAGAAAAGGAGGAGGAAGAGUAGGAGGAGGAAGAGGAGGAAGAGAAAGAGGAAAAAGAGGAAAAAGAGGAGGACACAGCUAGGAGAACAAGAAAUUAUUUAAACGGUGUGUGUAUCUGUGCAUGUUAGUACAGGUGUCAGUGGAGACCAGAAGCGCACACUGGAUCUCUUGGAGCAGGAGUUACAGGUGGUUGUGAACUUUGAAUUUAACUGGGGUCCUUUGGAAGAACAGAGCAUGCUCCUGGCUACCGAGCCAUCUUUCUACCCC